UACGGAGGAUCCAAGCGUUAUCCGGAAUCAUUGGGUUUAAAGGGUCCGUAGGCGGAUUGAUAAGUCAGCGGUGAAAGUUUGUGGCUUAACCAUAAAAUUGCCGUUGAUACUGUUAGUCUUGAAUAAUUAUGAAGUAGCUAGAAUAUGUAGUGUAGCGGUGAAAUGCUUAGAUAUUACAUGGACUACCGAUUGCGAAGGCAGGUUACUAAUAAUUUAUUGACGCUGAUGGACGAAAGCGUGGGGAGCGAACAGGAUUAGAUACCCUGGUAGUCCACGCCGUAAACGAUGGAUACUAGCUGUUUGGUAGUAAUACUGAGUGGCUAAGCGAAAGUGAUAAGUUAUCCACCUGGGGAGUACGACCGCAAGGUUGAA
rnacentral:rRNA from 1 species